rnacentral:lncRNA from 1 species
GGUGGCAUUGACAAUGGAACUAACAUUUGGAAGGAUGCCGGUGAAGUUAUUCGCAGAGGCAUCUAGAAAUUGCAACCCAGGCAUUGACCACAAAGCAUCAGGCAACUGUCCAGUAAAACUAUUGGAGCUGAGGUCAAGGUCAACCAGAUUAGAAAGGUUACUGAGUUGGGGGGGAAUCGAAGAAGAUAAAAUGUUACCAGAAGUCCAGUUAAACUAUUGGAGCUGAGGUCAAGGUCAACCAGAUUAGAAAGGUUACCGAGUUGGGGGGAAAUCGAAGAAGAUAAAAUGUUACCAGACAGAUUCAAGAACUUCAACUGAAGCAAACUUCCAAUUUCUUUAGGAAUAGUUCCAUUCAAGAAAUUUGAGGACAUAU